CGUAGUUAGCCGUGACUUAUUCCUGAGGUACCGUCCUUCCUCGUCCCCCAGAAAAGAGCUUUACAACCCGAAGGCCUUCAUCGCUCACGCGGCGUUGCUGCCUCAGACUUGCGUCCAUUGGGCAAUAUUCCUC
rnacentral:rRNA from 1 species